UGGGGAAUUUUGGACAAUGGGGGCAACCCUGAUCCAGCAAUGCCGCGUGAGUGAAGAAGGCCUUCGGGUUGUAAAGCUCUUUUAAUGAUGAAGAUGAUGACGGUAAUCAUAGAAUAAGCCCCGGCAAACUUCGUGCCAGCAGCCGCGGUAAUACGAAGGGGGCUAGCGUUAUUCGGAAUCACUGGGCGUAAAGCGCAAGUAGGCUGUUAGGUAAGUCAGAUGUGAAAUCCUAGGUUUCAAGCCGAGAACUGCAUUUGAUACUGCUUAACUUGAGUACAGAAGAGGAUGAUGGAAUUCCAAGUGUAGGAGUGAAAUCCGUAGAUAUUUGGAGGAACACCAGAGGCGAAGGCGUUCAUCUGGUCUGUAACUGACGCUGAGUUGCGAAAGUGUGGGGAGCAAACAGG
rnacentral:rRNA from 1 species